AAUGAACGUUGGCGGCAUGGAUUAGGCAUGCAAGUCGAGCGCGAAGAGUCAUUUGCUUGCAUUUGACUCUGAAAGCGGCGUAAGGGUGAGUAACGCGUAGUUACCUACCUCCGGGUCCGGAAUAGCUGCGGGAAACUGCAGGUAAUGCCGGAUAAUAUCUCAGGAUCAAAGGUGCGAUUCCGCCCGGAGAGGGGACUGCGUCCUACUAGCUUGUUGGUGGGGUAAUGGCCUACCAAGGCUUCGAUGGGUAGCGGGCGUGAGAGCGUGGCCCGUCACACUGGGACUGAGACACUGCCCAGACACCUACGGGUGGCUGCAGUCGAGAAUCUUCGGCAAUGGGCGAAAGCCUGACCGAGCAAUGCCGCGUGCGGGAUGAAGGCCCUCGGGUUGUAAACCGCGAAAGUAAGGAGGAAGGACCUGCGAAGAGCAGGUUUUGACCGAUCUACAGUAAGGACGGGCUAAGUUCGUGCCAGCAGCCGCAGUAA
rnacentral:rRNA from 1 species